GAAACUGCGAAUGGCUCAUUAAAUCAGUUAUAGUUUAUUUGAUGGUUCCUUACUACUUGGAUAACCGUAGUAAUUCUAGAGCUAAUACAUGCAGAAAGUCCCGACUUCUUGGAAGGGAUGUAUUUAUUAGAUCCAAAACCAGCGCGAGUUCCUUCGGGGGCUCGGUUGCAUGGUGAUUCAUGAUAACUGCUCGAAUCGCAUGGCCUUGCGCCGGCGAUGAUCCAUUCAAAUUUCUGCCCUAUCAACUUUCGAUGGCAAGGUAGUGGCUUGCCAUGGUGACAACGGGUGACGGAGAAUUAGGGUUCGAUUCCGGAGAGGGAGCCUGAGAAACGGCUACCACAUCCAAGGAAGGCAGCAGGCGCGCAAAUUACCCAAUCCCGACUCGGGGAGGUAGUGACAAUAAAUAACAAUGCUGGGCUAUCGUAGUCUGGCAAUUGGAAUGAGUACAAUCUAAACCCCUUAACGAGGAACAAUUGGAGGGCAAGUCUGGUGCCAGCAGCCGCGGUAAUUCCAGCUCCAAUAGCGUAUAUUAAAGUUGUUGCAGUUAAAAAGCUCGUAGUUGGAUUUCGGGGCAGCCCGGCUGGUCCGUCGCGAGGCGAGUACUGGUCGGCCGCCCUUCCUCUCGAAAGCCCCGACUGCUCUUCACUGCAGUGGUCGGGGAGUUCGGGACGUUUACUUUGAAAAAAUUAGAGUGUUCAAGGCAGGCCAUCGCCUGAAUACAUUAGCAUGGAAUAAUGGAAGAGGACCUCGGUCCUAUUUUGUUGGUUUCUAGGGCCGAAGUAAUGAUUAAGAGGG
rnacentral:rRNA from 1 species